rnacentral:lncRNA from 1 species
AAAGAACCUAAAUAUCUGCUGGGAGUGCAUACAAUUAAUCAAUUUUCUCUUUUGUGUUGUUUUUCACACAGAGCGAUGAGGCAAGAGAGAAGUUUUUAAAAAUAGAAAAAUGUGAUUGCAUAAACGUCGUUGUUGACAGGAGGACUCAGUGGAUUCAGAUAUAACUGUAGGUGCUGCCUGUAUGAAAGAGCUGAGCCACACCAUCCACUAAACUGUCUAGAGCAGCAGUUGGCUUGCUUGGAAGUUGCUUCCAGGACUGUAUUGUAAAGCUUCAGGGAAAAGUACGGACUUUUUCAGUGGGA